rnacentral:lncRNA from 1 species
UCUGGGGCACGCGCUUCUGGGCCUGGGAAUGCGCCGCCUUGGGCCACUGUUCCUCUUUCCGCUAAGAAAUAGCCGCUUCCCUCUCCCGCUGCGACCCAGUUGCUUUGCACUUGAAUGUUAGGCGCAGCUUUUGCCCUUUUUUCCCAAGGCUUAAGCUCAGAUGAAGCUCCAGGAGGAGCUCAGGACUAGGACUGUACCUGAUACCAUGUAAGGUUCGAUGC